rnacentral:rRNA from 1 species
UACGGAGGGUGCAAGCGUUAUCCGGAUUUACUGGGUUUAAAGGGUGCGUAGGUGGGUCUGUAAGUCAGUGGUGAAAUCUCCGAGCUUAACUCGGAAACUGCCAUUGAUACUAUAGGUCUUGAAUUAUCUGGAGGUAAGCGGAAUAUGUCAUGUAGCGGUGAAAUGCUUAGAUAUGACAUAGAACACCGAUUGCGAAGGCAGCUCACAAAACUGUAACUGACGCUGAGGCACGAAAGCGUGGGUAUCAAACAGG